AUGAAUGCUGGCGGCGUGCCUUAGGCAUGCAAGUCAAGGGGGCUCCGUAAGGAGCAACCGGCAGACGGGUGAGUAACGCGUAGGAAUCUACCUCUAGGUGGAACAUAGCCAUCCGAAAGGAUGGGUAAUUUCCCAUAGUCAAGUAAUUGUAAAGGUCUUAACGGACCGCCAAGAGAGGAGCCUGCGUCCUAUCAGCUUGUUGGUGGGGUAAAAGCCUACCAAGGCGAUGACGGGUAGCUGGACUGAGAGGUCGACCAGCCACAACUGCACUGAAACACGGGCAGUACACCUACGGGUGGCAGCAACCGGGAAUAUUGCGCAAUGGGGGAAACCCUGACGCAGCGACGCCGCGUGAAGGAAGAAGGCCUAUGGGUCGUAAACUUCUUUUGCUAAGCCGUUCACAGCUUAGAGAAUAAGCCUCUACUAACUACGUGCCAGAAGUCUCGGUAAUACGUAGGAGGCAAGCAUUAUCCGGAUUUAUUGGGCGUAAAGUGUGCGUAGGCGGACUGGUGUGUCGUAUCUUAAAGGCCAAGGCUUAACCUUGGAAUUGGAUACGAAACUACUAGUCUUGAGGAUAGACAGGGAUGCUGGAACAGUAAGUGUAGCAGUGAAAUGCGUUGAUAUUUACUGGAACACCAAAGGCGAAGGCAGGCAUCUGGGUUUUUCCUGACGCUGAGGCACGAAAGCUAGGGUAGCGAAACAGAUUAGCGACCUGUGUAGUCCUAGCCGUAAACGAUGUCUGCUAGCUCUCGCACAAGCGGGGGCGUAAGCUAACGCGUUAAGCAGACCGCCUGGGGAGUACGGCCGCAAGGCUAAAACUCAAAGGAAUUGACGGGGACCCGCACAACCGGUGGAGCGUGUGGUUCAAUUCGAGACAAAACGAAGAACCUCACCAGGGCUUGACAUAAUACCGUACAUUUCUGUGGAAACACGGAGAAAUCCGCAAGGAUGGUAUUACAGGUGCUGCAUGGCUGUCGUCAGCUCGUGCCGUGAGGUGUUCCCUUAAGUGGGGAAACGAGCGCAACCCCUGUCUAAUGUUAAAUAUUCAUUAGAUACGGUCUUUGAUUUUUCAAAGAAGGAAGGAAGGGAAGACGUCAAGUCAGCAUGGUCCUUACGGGGGGCCGGCCUGGGCCACACACACACUACAAUGGCGAAUAACAACGAGCAGCAAGCUAGCAAUAGCAAGCAAAUCUCUAAAAUUUCGCCUCAGUUCAGAUUGGGGUCUGAAACCCGACCCCAUGAAGUCGGAAUCGGUAGUAAUCGCGGAUCAGCAAGCCGCGGUGAAUACGUUCUCGGGUCUUGUACACACCGCCCGUCACAUCACGAAAGUGGGCCGUACUAGAAGCGGGUGUGCUAACCGCAAGGAGGCAGCCUUCCAAGGUACAGCUC
rnacentral:rRNA from 1 species